AGCGGGAAAAGCUCAAAUUUAAAAUCUGGCAGAUGUUUGUCUGUCCGAGUUGUAACCUAGAGAAGUGUAACCUGUGCUGGACCGUGUACAAGUCUCCUGGAAUGGAGCAUCAUAGAGGGUGAGAAUCCCGUCUUUGACAUGGACUACCAGUGCACUGUGGUUGCGCACUCAACGAGUCGAGUUGUUUGGGAAUGCAGCUCUAAAUGGGUGGUAAAUUCCAUCUAAAGCUAAAUAUUGGCGAGAGACCGAUAGCGAACAAGUACCGUGAGGGAAAGAUGAAAAGAACUUUGGAAAGAGAGUUAAACAGUAUGUGAAAUUGUUGAAAGGGAAACACUUGAAGUCAGCUGCAUUGGCUGGGGAUCAAGCCAGCUUAUUUGCUGGGUGUACUUCCUGGUUGAUGGGCCAACAUCAGUUUUGACCAUCAGAGAAAGGCUAAGGGAAUGUGGCACCUUUAUAGGUGUGUUAUAACCCUUGGUUGUAUGUGGUGGAUGGGACUGAGGA
rnacentral:rRNA from 1 species